rnacentral:lncRNA from 1 species
UUUUUUUUUUUUUUUUUUUUUUUUUGGUCUUUUUGCCUUUUCUAGGGCUGCUCCCGCAGCAUAUGGAGGUUCCCAGGCUAGGGGUCUAAUUGGAGCUGUAGCCGCUGGCUUAUGCCAGAGCCACAGCAAUGCCAGAUCCAAGCUGCGUCUGAGACCUACACCACAGUUCACAGCAAUGCCAGGUCCUUAACCCACUGAGCAAGGGCUGGGAUCAAACCCGCAACCUCAUGGUUCCUAGUCGGAUUCAUUAACCACUGCGCCAUGACGGGAACUCUGAGAAGAUCUUUUUGAGUUCAGUCUUUUUGAGGACCUUUGAGCUUCAUGAUCUUGGAUGUCCACAUUUCUCUACAAAUUUGGGAAGUUCUCAGCCAUGAUUUCUUUAAUUUUUCUGUCUCUUCCUCCAUCUAUUCUCCUUAUAGUAGUCCAGUAAUUUAUAGAUUUUUUAAAAUUGUAACCCAUAAUUCAUAUAGGCUUUCUUCACUCUUUUUUUUAAAUUCUCUUUUAUUUGUUCUCCUUAGCUGAAUAAUUUCAAAUGACCUGAAUUGAUUUAAUAGUUUCUUUCUUCUACUUGAUCAAGUCUGCUGUUCCUGCUUUCUAUUGCUUUUUUUUUUCCAUUUCAUUCAUUGUACUGUUCAGCUCCAGACUUUCUGUUUGAUUCUUUUUUUACGAUUUCUGUAUCUCUGUUAAACUUCUCAUUUUCUUUGUGUAUUGUUUUCCUAUUUUCAUUAAAUUGUCUUUCUUUCUUUCUUUUUUUUUCUUGUAGCACACUGAGCUUCCUGAAGACAACUAUUUUUAGUUCUUUAUUGGGAAAAUUGUAGAUCUUCAUUUCUUUAGAGUUGGUUACUAUAAAAUACUAUGUGCAUUUGGUGAUGUCAUUUUUCCCUUGUUUUUUCACAUUCCUUGAGGUAUUGUUUUGCUGUCUUUGCAUUUGAAGAAGCAGUCACCUCCUGCAAUCUCUACUGACUGUGUUCAGGAGAGAAAUACCUUCUGCCAGCCCUGCUAAAUAGUCUUAGGCUCACUCAUACAUUUUCUAUAGGUACACAUGCUCCACACUUCUUCUUCCCUCUUGUAUGGGAGAGAAAGGAUUCCUAAGAUGGUAUUCUUUCUCUUGCUCCUGAAAAGGCUGACCGAGUGCUGACAGCCUCCGUUUGCUUUCCUUAGGGCAGUGCUGAAUGAUCAUGUUUUUAUGCUUUCUCCCAGUUUCAUAGAGUUGGGGCAGCUUUCUGUACAUUCUCACUAGCUGACUUGUGCCCUCAGGGGCACAAAUGGUGUCAGCCAUGUGGAGAUGCUGGUGGUGGUGUGUGUGGGUGAACUGUACAGAGCAUUGGGGCUGUCUGUGGGCCUGUUGGUGGGAUCUAUAGAUAAGGCAUCCCCAGUAACUUGUAGCUGAACUUCCUGAUGGACUGGUAUUGCUGUUAGUAGGAUCCAUAUCCUUUUCUGUCCUCGAAGAGCUCUGGCUGCUCUUUUUCCAAACCCAACUGUGGGGACCCCUCAGUUGAGCAGCACAUCUCAGUCUUCCGAAUGGAGCAAGAAGGAGGUGGGGCUCUCUGGCUGCAUCAUAUACAGUUGGAGAAGCUGGCACUCACAUGCUCUCACUGGCAUAGAAGGUCUCUCUUAGCACUUGCUCCUUGGAAAUACACUUGGAACUCUGCUGGAAAAAUGCUACCCUUCUCUUUUCUCUAUAAUAUUGAUAUACCUGUCACAUUCAGGCAGGGCCUAUGAUUAAUCUUAAUGUGCAGGUGUUCCUAACUGAGGCCUGAGGUUUGAAUUUGCUUCAUUCUAUGCCGUCUGUUUUAAUUUUGAUUAAUUGCCAUCAGGAAUAAUAACUCCUCAGGGAAGAUCAUUAGGAAGCUACAAAAUCGAUUAUGUUUAGCCACAGACUAUGUAAAACUAGUCACCACCGCUGAAAUGAUCAUAGAUACCCUUUAUGUUGCAGGCACAUGGAAUUCUAAGGUAAUUCCAACUGGAUUUCAGAAACAAAUUAAAAAGGAAUUGGAAAUGAUUUUUCAUGAAUAACUUAGCUUUCAAAUUUGCCCUUUCUUUUCCCCCAGUAGAUUUUCUUAAUUCUGCCAUGAAAAUCAGUAACCACAGCAGGUAGUCAUGGUUGGUAGGAAUAAAUAUGCUUUAGGUAUAUGUGAGGGAACAUCCUCAGUACAUUUUGCAGUAAUUAAUUGGAAGACUCAUGCGCCCCCAGUAAAUAAGAAAGGAACCAAGAUUACUUGCUGUCCUCUACCUGAGACCACUGCCUUAGUUGAAAUACUUUGUGGCUAAUGCACUAGCCUCCUAACUUCCUUAACUUCUAGUGUAGUUUCUUCUUGGUCCACUCCUACUUGACUCUUUGCUCUUUUUUAUUUUUAUUUUAUUUUAUUUUAUUUUAUUUUAUUUUAUUUUAUUUUUGCUUUUUAGGGCUGCAGCCGAGGCAUGUGGAAGUUCCCAGGCUAGGGGUCGAAUCGGAACUAUAGCUGCUGGCCUACACCACAGCCACAGCAAUGUAGGAUCCUUAACCCACUGAGAGAGGACAGGGAUUGAACCCACAACCUCAUGGUUUCUAGUUGGAUUCAUUUCUGCUGUGCCACAGUGGGAACUCCCUCUUUGCUCUUUUUUAAAUAGAGCACACUAGCUCCUCCUUUUGCACAUGGCUCUCACUAUCCCUGGAACACCCUUCUUCCUCUUUUUCAUCUGGCUACCUCUCUUCAUACUUAGGACUUUUCUAUGUUUUCUGCCUCACUCCCCUUAAGUGGCUCUUCUGUGUGUCCCAUUGCACCAUGGACCCUUUUUACACAACUGAUAUCAUAUUUAUUGUCAGUAAAUAUCCUCCUCUUCUGAUAAAGGAAAAUUUGUCUUGUGUCUCUGCAGCCCUGGCUCAGUGGAUCCUAGCUCUUUUUGCUUCACACACUUCUUUGAGAAUCUGAUGAAAAGUGUAAACUUCCUCUCUGGACAGAGUAGUUUAAAUUUUGCAAAUAAUUUCAAGGAGUUCUGGGACACUCUAAGUCCGUCUGUGGACCCUAGGAUUUCAUGGACCCCUGGCUAAGAAUCCCUACUCUAGCUCCUGAAUACAUCAAAAUAGUUACCAUUUAACAGGUGCUUAUCACUAUUCUGAGCACUUCACAUGAGCUGCUCCAUUUAUUCCUUACAACGCUAUAAGGUCAAUACUGUGAUCAUCCCCAGUUUAGCGAUGAGGAAACCGAAGAACAGCAUGAAAGUCAUUUGGCUGAGGCUGUUCCUGAGUCUGCUGUGUUAACUCCAACACUAAAUCACCUCUCCGCCUCACUCUGGUCCUGUUCAUAAACAUUACUGCAUCCAUGUCUCUUGAAUGAACUAUAGAAUGAAGGAAAGUAAUGCCACUAUGGACCAGGAACUAUGAAUAAGGUUAAAAUCAUGCAGAAAAGAAAGAGGCUUAGCAUUCGAAUGGUUUGUAAAGACUAUGAGGAUUUUCAGUGGAGUCAAUAGCAUAGGGGAUAAGCUACAUCCAUUCCGUGCGCUUUAAGGAGAAGGGGUAGAAAGGCAAAGAACUUAAUACAUGCCCAACACUGAGUUCGUACUUCCUAAAGAGAGUACAUCACACAACAGCACUGUAAGACCUGGGAAGAGAGGUGAAUUUCGACUCCUGUAUUGACUCUGAGGGAGGACUGAAUGGGAAAAUACAAAGUUCCUGUUCUUUAAAGCAAGCAUUAAGAAAGCACAGUUAGUAACAGCCUCCCGGUUGGCUCUCUGUGACAUUAAGGAAUGGAAGUUUUACUCUAGAAUGAUAGAAGGGCUGAGGGUUAAGGAGGGAGGGGUGGGGUCAGUUUUUUUCUUUUAAUAAAGAUAAACCUUUCAAGUCUUUUAUGAUAGGAAAGAAUUUUGCAAUUACAGGUACAUGUGAAUAGGACCUUCACUCAAGUAUGCCCAUACACACUUCUGCUCUGGUUUCAAAAAGGCAGGAAAGGAAGGUGGGAAAGGGAAAAGAAGAAGGGAGACCAAUAUGUGAUUAUCACAUGCCAGUAUUUCCAUUAACUGAUUCCAAAUAGACACUGUCAGCUGAUCUAUCCCUUGUUCCUUCGAUGGCUGAUGGUUCAGUGGUCAAAUGUCAGGCACUUGGUUGGGAUAAGGCCCCAAAGGAGAAGCAGCAGCAGGGAGACUUUUCAUGCUCUAGGAAACUUGCAGUCUUCUUCAGAAUCUUAUGAGAAUACUACAUUAGCAGUUAUAAUCAUUCUCCACCGACAAUUUAACCACACUUGAGAAAAGGCACUUGGUAUCGUUCAUUCCCUACGGUUACUAAGGCUGAUCUUGCUGUAUUCUGUAUGUCUGAGUCAGGAGAUCUGUCUGCAGGUAUGCUUUAAAUGACUUCUAGCCUAUGUGUAGAGCUGGCUCAGGUCUGGACAGGGCCAGUGUAUACCCAUGAGGCUCUUGAGGAUAUGCACCUAUGUGCCAGGUAGGGUGGGGCAUUCCACGUCAAUCCCAGAGAUCAAGGAUGGGUAACAUUGGUUGUUGUUCAAGUUUGUGUCCUCACUGUUUGUGGACAUCUUCAGUAGUCAAAGAGCUUACAACUCCAUCUCUCAAAUUGUGGAUGUGGGGAAUACUUUUCCUAUCAGUCAUUUUUAUUGGCUUUGCACUUAUUCGUAUCACUGACUCUUGGUAUCUCCGUUUCUCAGUGUCAAUGUAUUUGGGUUAAGGAGGAUGAUAUAAAGAACAAAGACCAGACUUUUGGAACUAAAUUUGGGGACAUUUUCAUUUUUUAUAAUAUAAAAAAUAUUGUCUUUAAAUGUUUUUAGCAAGCUAUUUAAAGAUAUUUGGUUGGAAAUGUGUUAACAUUUUUCUAAUACUAGCUUGAAUACUCUUUAUAACUCAGCUGUCUUAAACUACCAGCAAUAUGGAACUCUUACUUUGAAAUACAGUCAUUUUCUCCAACAAAUCAUCAGAAGAGGGCUAAAUCAAGCCAGCUUUCCAGUGAGUUAUAAUAAUGGAGACUCUAAUUAUCCAGUCUGCAUCUCAAGUUGAGUUGUAAUUCAUUAAAAUUCUUUUUUGCCCCUUUUCAGUUGGAUGCAUUUCAGCAUUCUAAAUUCUGAUCUCUUCCUGUU